GAUGAACGCUGGCGGCGUGCUUAAUACAUGCAAGUCGAACGGAGACAUUAGCAAUAAUGUUUUAGUGGCGAACGGGUGAGUAACGCGUUGGUGACCUGCCCCGAAGAGAGGGAUAACAGUUCGAAAGGAUUGCUAAUACCCCAUGUAGUUGUUUGGAUUAGAUGCCUUACAACUAAACGGAUUUAUUCGCUUCGGGAGGGACCUGCGUCCCAUCAGCUAGUUGGUAGGGUAACGGCCUACCAAGGCUAUGACGGGUAGGGGACCUGAGAGGGUGGCCCCCCACAAUGGAACUGAAACACGGUCCAUACACCUACGGGUGGCAGCAGUAGGGAAUAUUGGUUAAUCUGCGAAAGCGGGAACCAGCAACGCCGCGUGCACGAUGAAGGCCUUCGGGUUGUAAAGUGCUUUUUGAGAGGAUGAGGAAGGACAGUACUCUUAGAAUAAGCUUCGGCUAACUACGUGCCAGCAGCCGCGGUAAAACGUAGGAAGCGAGCGUUAUCCGGAUUUACUGGGCGUAAAGCGUGUGUAGGCGGUUUGACAAGUUGGAUGUGAAAGCUCCUGGCUUAACUGGGAGAGGUCGUUCAAAACUGUCAGACUCGAGAGUGGUAGAGGGAGGUGGAAUUCCGGGUGUAGUGGUGAAAUGCGUAGAUAUCCGGAGGAACACCAGUGGCGAAAGCGGCCUCCUGGCCCAUUUCUGACGCUCAGACACGAAAGCUAAGGUAGCAAACGGGAUUAGAGACCCCGGUAGUCUUAGCUGUAAACGAUGUGAACUUAGUGUCGGUGGGUUUAAAUCCAUCGGUACUGAAGCUAACGCGAUAAGUUCACCGCCUGGGGACUACGGCCGCAAGGUUAAAACUCAAAGGAAUUGACGGGGCCCCGCACAAGCAGCGGAGCGUGUGGUUUAAUUCGAUGUUACACGAAGAACCUUUACCAGGGUUUGACAUGCAAG
rnacentral:rRNA from 1 species